GCUCGGGCUCAGAUUUGAUCCCUGACCCAGGAACUUCCCAUAUGCUGUGGGGGCAGCCGAAAAAGAAAAACAAAAAAGUUAAGUUUUAUUAAAGUAUAAUUUACAUAAUAUAAAAUACAGUUGGAUUAGUUUUGACAAAGGCAUCUUAUCUCGGAACCAGCCCCGAAAUGCAGAUAAAACCAUGACAUUCCGCGGAUGGAGAUCACUGGGGGAGGAUCAUCUGGCCAUCUUCAGGGACCCCAUACAUGGCAUAGAUGCCUGGGAGACAAAACAAGACCCUGGGCCGUGAAGACCUUGACCAGCGAGAGACAGCUUGGGGGCAGCUGGGCACGGGGCAGGCCUCACCCCACCGCUGUCGCUGAUGGGCUGCAAUCAGAGUCCGGAAAACAGGAGGUGAGUCCCAUGCACGACCACAUCCACGCAGGGGCUCCAGCAAACGGCACUGUCCCCUCCACUGCCCAACGCCGGGAAGAUUCAGGACUGGACCGAAACCCUACACCUGCCUGGAGUCAGAGCCCCACAAAACGCCAGCCUCGGGUAGUUCACAGACACAGCCUCGGGGAGCCCAGGAGAGAAACCUCCCCGGGCUAUUCCCAUUCCCCCUCUCCGGUCAGAAGAGAAGGCAGUCUCCCCUCUGGAGAUCCUUAGAAGUAGCUGAAAGGCUCAGCUAUGAGGAUGCAUGGGCCCAGUGGAAUAUCUCCUGGGGCCCAGGCCGGUCCUCUGCUCCAGAAGGCAGCUGCGUGGUUUAAACAGGCCAGGUCGCUUCUGCAGGGAAUCCCAAUGGACCAUGAACCGUAUCCUCUCCUCAGCACCAGCGCCCCCACUUCUCAGCUACUGCAAGAACGCGGACCUCGCAUUUGUUCUAUUGCAUCCCCUGAGCACAGGCGCUGCUCCGACAGGGUAGCACCCUGGCCAUUCUCCCUGUCCCCCAGGGAUCUCACACCCAUCAGUGAUGCAGGACUUGGCCUGACUCUUGAUGACGUCCAGCUGUGUCCUUUCCUGCUAUGUCCUUUCCUCCGGCUGCUUCUGUCACACUUGGCGAAAGUGUGAUUUCAGCCCUGCUGCCCUAUGAGCAGUCAUCCUAUUGCUCCCCUGCCUUUGACCACAACCUUGUGCCUCCAACUCUCAGCCCUCAGUCUCUUCCUUAACCCCCCUCCAAUUCAGUUUCCAUCCACUCCAAAUAAGCAUAAUUUUC